AUUGAACGCUGGCGGCAUGCUUUACACAUGCAAGUCGAACGGCAGCGGGGUAGUGCUUGCACUACUGCCGGCGAGUGGCGAACGGGUGAGUAAUAUAUCGGAACGUACCGAGUAAUGGGGGAUAACCAAUCGAAAGAUUGGCUAAUACCGCAUACGUCCUGAGGGAGAAAGCGGGGGAUCGCAAGACCUCGCGUUAUUCGAGCGGCCGAUAACUGAUUAGCUAGUUGGUGGGGUAAAGGCCUACCAAGGCGACGAUCAGUAGCGGGUCUGAGAGGACGAUCCGCCACACUGGGACUGAGACACGGCCCAGACUCCUACGGGAGGCAGCAGUGGGGAAUUUUGGACAAUGGGGGCAGCCCUGAUCCAGCCAUGCCGCGUGUAUGAAGAAGGCCUUCGGGUUGUAAAGUACUUUUGUUAGGGAAGAAAAGGGAAGUGCUAAUACCACUUUUUGCUGACGGUACCUAAAGAAUAAGCACCGGCUAACUACGUG
rnacentral:rRNA from 1 species